AGAGUUUGAUCCUGGCUCAGAACGAACGCUGGCGGCGUGCCUAACACAUGCAAGUCGAGCGCGAAAGUCCCUUCGGGGGCGAGUAGAGCGGCGGACGGGUGAGUAAUACAUAGGUAGUCUACCUUCGAGCUUGGGAUAACCCCGCGAAAGUGGGGCUAAUACCGGAUAAGACCACGCAACCAUGUUGCGGGGUAAAAGGUGGCUUAUUUUUUAAAUGAGCUGUCACUUGAGGAUGAGCCUAUGGCCUAUCAGCUUGUUGGCGGGGUAAGAGCCCACCAAGGCUAUGACGGGUAGCUGGUCUGAGAGGACGACCAGCCACACUGGGACUGAGACACGGCCCAGACUCCUACGGGAGGCAGCAGUGGGGAAUAUUGGGCAAUGGGCGAAAGCCUGACCCAGCGACGCCGCGUGGGCGAUGAAGGCCUUCGGGUUGUAAAGCCCUGUCAUGCGGAAAGAACGACCCUGUGACGCAUACUUACAGGGAGUGACGGUACCGCAGGAGGAAGCACCGGCUAACUCCGUGCCAGCAGCCGCGGUAAUACGGAGGGUGCAAGCGUUGUUCGGAAUUAUUGGGCGUAAAGGGCGCGUAGGCGGUAAUGUAAGUCAGAUGUGAAAUACUCCGGCUCAACCAGAGAAUUGCAUCUGAAACUGCAUAACUAGAGUACAGAAGAGGGAAACGGAAUUCCCGGUGUAGAGGUGAAAUUCGUAGAUAUCGGGAGGAACACCAGUGGCGAAGGCGGUUUCCUGGUCUGAUACUGACGCUGAGGCGCGAAAGCGUGGGGAGCAAACAGGAUUAGAUACCCUGGUAGUCCACGCUGUAAACGGUGAACAGGUAGGUGUGGGAGGGUAAUACCUUCGGUGCGGUAGCUAAAACGUUUAGUGUUCGCCUGGGAAGUUCGUCCGCAGGGCUGAAUCUCAAAAGAAUUGACGGGGGCCCGCACAAGCGGUGGAGCAGGUGGUUUAAUUUGACGCAACGCGAAGAACCUUACGGAAGUCUAACAUACCGAGAACCGUGAUGAAAGUCGGGGGUGCCCCGUAAGGGGAACUUGGACACAGGUGUUACAUGGCUGUCGUCAGCUCGUGCCGUGAGGAGUUGGGUUAAGUCCCGCUACGAGCGCAACCCUCAUCUUUAGUUGCCAUCAUUAAGUUGGGCACCCUAAGGAAACUGCCGCAGUUAAUGCGGAGGAAGGUGGGGAUGACGUCAAGUCCUCAUGGCCCUUAUAUCCAGGGCUACACACGUGCUACAAUGAGCGGCACAAAGGGUCGCAAACCCGCGAGGGGGAGCUAAUCCCAGAAAUCCGCUCCUAGUUCGGAUUGGAGUCUGCAACUCGACUCCAUGAAGCUGGAAUCGCUAGUAAUCGCGGAUCAGCAUGCCGCGGUGAAUACGUUCCCGGGCCUUGUACACACCGCCCGUCA
rnacentral:rRNA from 1 species